rnacentral:lncRNA from 1 species
GAGGAGUUCUGGAGAUUCAUAGCAGUUUCCAGAUAUUACCUUGAACAGACUUCAGGCGAAUAAAGGGAACUCAUUUUUUCCUUGGUUUUCCAAAAACUAAGGAGCCUCCCGAAUAUGAUUUCCAGCUGUGGUCUGGAGCUCUGUGGGUUGGGAGCACUGUCUUGUGUAACUCCCAUCAUUACGGCCCAUCCCGUGUCCUGACUCCGGAUGGUGGGACAAGUGAAGCCUUGUGCUCCAGGGUCUACAUGCUCCUUAACUCAGAUGAAAACAUAUUAGCCCCUCUCUGCCUGCUGGAGAAGAGGGAACAAAGAGAUGACUUGUUUUCAGUGACCUACUUGGGUCAUUUGCAGAGUUGGCUGGGGUCAAAUCUCCCCUGCUGCAGACCAGACAGCCUCUUCCCCAGCUCCUACUGUUUCCUCUAGAAAUAAUUGCAUUUGUUGUUUCCAACAGUAAAGAUUUCAUUAGUGACCAAAUGAAGCCCACCAAUGGCAAAAUCAAUCCAGGUAUACCUGUGGAGGGGCCCCAUUCCUAUAUCCCAUUACUUGUUGUUGUAUAAUAAAAUCAAAACCAAAGAAACCUGAGGCUAGAGAAGUACCACCAAGCAAAACCUGCAGUAAGCCUUUUCCAAGAUAAAGGAGUGCACUUGGUAAUGUUUCUUUUGUUUCCUUUUUGCACGUGGCUAUCUGAAUGGUUAGGAACACAAGUGACACACUUUUAUACUUUUUUUAUCUUUUUACAUCUGUAGAUGAGUUCUUAAUAGGUGCCAUUGUAUUGGACUUUUCCACUGAAACCCAAAACCCUGACUGAAUGGCUACACUCAUCUCCAGGGGUGUCCCGGUGCCUAGCAGGCGUAUCCAGCAGUGUGCUCCUGUUAGCAGAGCCAUUUGGCUGCACGUCUACAGGCUUUGCAGUGACUCUGGAGGAGUUCUGUUUCUAACAAAGGUAGAGCAAGAAACCUCUCCAGUUUAGAAUCUAUUUUGAGCCCGGAAGUUUGGGGGUGAUGUCCAUGGGAACCCCAGAGGUCUGGAAGCUCCUGUUGGGAAAGAAUAGCUUUGCUUUUUGGUAUUUUCCUGCCUCGUCC